CCUACGGGUGGCUGCAGUGGGGAAUAUUGCACAAUGGGGGAAACCCUGAUGCAGCGACGCCGCGUGAGUGAAGAAGUAUUUCGGUAUGUAAAGCUCUAUCAGCAGGGAAGAAAAUGACGGUACCAGAUGAAUAAGCAGCGGCUAACUACGUGCCAGCAGCCGCGGCAAUACGUAGGGGGCAAGCGUUAUCCGGAUUUACUGGGUGUAAAGGGAGCGUAGACGGCGGUGUAAGGCUGGAGUGAAAUGCCGGGGCUUAACCCCGGGACUGCUUUGGAAACUGUUCAGCUAGAGUGCAGGAGAGGUAAGCGGAAUUCCUAGUGUAGCGGUGAAAUGCGUAGAUAUUAGGAGGAACACCAGUGGCGAAGGCGGCUUACUGGACUGUAACUGACGUUGAGGCUCGAAAGCGUGGGGAGCAAACAGGAUUAGAUACCCCAGUAGUC
rnacentral:rRNA from 1 species